rnacentral:rRNA from 1 species
GAAUUCGCCCUUAGAGUUUGAUCCUGGCUCAGGACGAACGCUGGCGGCGCGCCUAACACAUGCAAGUCGAACGAGCGAGAGGAGGUUUACUUUCUCAAGCGAGUGGCGAACGGGUGAGUAACGCGUGAGGAACCUGCCUCAAAGAGGGGGACAACAGUUGGAAACGACUGCUAAUACCGCAUAAGCCCACGACCCGGCAUCGGGUAGAGGGAAAAGGAGCAAUCCGCUUUGAGAUGGCCUCGCGUCCGAUUAGCUAGUUGGUGAGGUAAUGGCCCACCAAGGCGACGAUCGGUAGCCGGACUGAGAGGUUGAACGGCCACAUUGGGACUGAGACACGGCCCAGACUCCUACGGGAGGCAGCAGUGGGGAAUAUUGCACAAUGGGGGAAACCCUGAUGCAGCGACGCCGCGUGGAGGAAGAAGGUCUUCGGAUUGUAAACUCCUGUUGUUGAGGAAGAUAAUGACGGUACUCAACAAGGAAGUGACGGCUAACUACGUGCCAGCAGCCGCGGUAAAACGUAGGUCACAAGCGUUGUCCGGAAUUACUGGGUGUAAAGGGAGCGCAGGCGGGAAGACAAGUUGGAAGUGAAAUCUAUGGGCUCAACCCAUAAACUGCUUUCAAAACUGUUUUUCUUGAGUAGUGCAGAGGUAGGCGGAAUUCCCCGGUGUAGCGGUGGAAUGCGUAGAUAUCGGGAGGAACACCAGUGGCGAAGGCGGCCUACUGGGCACCAACUGACGCUGAGGCUCGAAAGUGUGGGUAGCAAACAGGAUUAGAUACCCUGGUAGUCCACACCGUAAACGAUGAUUACUAGGUGUUGGAGGAUUGACCCCUUCAGUGCCGCAGUUAACACAAUAAGUAAUCCACCUGGGGAGUACGACCGCAAGGUUGAAACUCAAAGGAAUUGACGGGGGCCCGCACAAGCAGUGGAGUAUGUGGUUUAAUUCGACGCAACGCGAAGAACCUUACCAAGUCUUGACAUCCUGCGACGAUGCUGGAAACAGUAUUUUCCUUCGGGACGCAGAGACAGGUGGUGCAUGGUUGUCGUCAGCUCGUGUCGUGAGAUGUUGGGUUAAGUCCCGCAACGAGCGCAACCCUUACUGUCAGUUACUACGCAAGAGGACUCUGGCAGGACUGCCGUUGACAAAACGGAGGAAGGUGGGGAUGACGUCAAAUCAUCAUGCCCUUUAUGACUUGGGCUACACACGUACUACAAUGGCGUUAAACAAAGAGAAGCAAGACCGCGAGGUGGAGCAAAACUCAGAAACAACGUCCCAGUUCGGACUGCAGGCUGCAACUCGCCUGCACGAAGUCGGAAUUGCUAGUAAUCGUGGAUCAGCAUGCCACGGUGAAUACGUUCCCGGGCCGUGUACACACCGCCCGUCA